rnacentral:rRNA from 1 species
UACGUAGGCAGCAAGCGUUGUUCGGAGUUACUGGGCGUAAAGGGUGUGUAGGCGGUUCUCUGGGCCUUACCUGACGCUGAGGAGCGAAAGCGUGGGGAGCAAACAG